GUCCACGCCCUAAACGAUGAUCACUCGAUGUGUGCGAUACACUGUACGCGUCUGAGCGAAAGCAUUAAGUGAUCCACCUGGGGAGUACGACCGCAAGGUUGAAACUCAAAGGAAUUGACGGGGGCCCGCACAAGCGGAGGAGCAUGUGGUUUAAUUCGAAGCAACGCGAAGAACCUUACCAGGUCUUUACAUACCAUUGACCGUUCUAGAGAUAGGAUUUUCCCUUCGGGGACAAUGGAUACAGGUGGUGCAUGGUUGUCGU
rnacentral:rRNA from 1 species